rnacentral:lncRNA from 1 species
ACUUUCAAGAAUACAUGGUCUCCAAUCUGAAACUCCAAGUCUCGUCGACGCCGAUCAGCAUAACUUCUGCCUACUCUGGGACUGUCAACAAUCGCUCCCGAGCAAUGCGAACCUUGUUCUCAGCUUCCUGGAGUACAUCAGGGCCUAAAGCCAAUCUCUCGCCAACUUCACUCCAAUGAAGUGGCGAUUUACACUUCCGUCCAUAGAGUGCCUCGAACAGGUGCCAUCUUGAUGCU